GAAAUGCGAUAAGUAAUGUGAAUUGCAGAAUUCAGUGAAUCAUCGAAUCUUUGAACGCACAUUGCGCCCGCCAGUAUUCUGGCGGGCAUGCCUGUUCGAGCGUCAUUACAACCCUCAGGCCCCCGGGCCUGGCGUUGGGGAUCGGCGGAAGCCCCCUGCGGGCACAACGCCGUCCCCCAAAUAGAGUGGCGGUCCCGCCGCAGCUUCCAUUGCGUAGUAGCUAACACCUCGCAACUGGAGAGCGGCGCGGCCACGCCGUAAAACACCCAACUUCUGAAUGUUGACCUCGAAUCAGGUAGGAAUACCCGCUGAACUUAAGC
rnacentral:misc_RNA from 1 species